GAGCUUCUUCCUUGGAGAAGAUAGUCUUUUCACCAGUCUCACCUUCAUCCUCCACACUUGAGGUUUUUCCCUUUUCAAUAGGAACAACCUGCAAAAUUAUUCCACUGAUUCCGAUGUCCAAAAUUACAAGAAACAGAAACCACAAACUCAAAAAUACAAGUACCGGAGUGUAGCGGAAGCGGCGCUUGGGCGGGUCGUCGGCGGCGGAGAGCGGGGUCCAGCGGCAGAGGAGGAGCGGCGGAGCGUCGUUCCGUUUGCCGGCUUUGGUAAUGGUGGCGGCGGGGGAGGUGACCCACUGCUUCUUCCACUUCCUGACGCGGCCGCUGAAGACCGGCGCGGAGGGGCCGGAGGCGUAGCGCGACGAUGCCCGGCUCUGCCUGGACCCCACGCCUUCCAUAUGUGAUGUCGUGGCGGAUAGGGAGAGAUGCUGCAGACGCUGUCGCUCUCCACUUAAUGCUUCUGAGCCCUCUUUGCUUUAGUACCAGUAUGAUUGGAACAUCAACUUGGAAGAGAUGCUGGAGGCGGGAGUUCAUUUUGGUCAUGGUAAAUGGACUGAUCAGUUGUUUUCUUAGGAAGGACAGUUCUAUUCUCUUUAUAUAGGACUUGAUUGGACUCUGAAUAGAUCGAUACACCGAUCGUGAGUGUGAGUCAUGACAUCGCAACCCGUGCCGUGUAGUGUUCAUCCUGGGCAAAGACAAGCCCGAGGAGAGGACGUAACUUUAUCAGUCUAUUUGCCUUUCCUUUCAUGGACCAUGUCUCGAUUCAAUAGAAGCUCAAAGAGGUGAAUAGGGUCCCCCCAAAAAAAUAACGAGAGAUACAUAGUUGACUAGUAUUGCGUUAGGCAACUUUUGAGUAUGCAUUUAGCGAUGGGCCAAAGGACUAGUCAAUUGAAAUCGGAUCAAAUUACUUUA